rnacentral:rRNA from 1 species
UGAUCAUCUCGCCGACCUCCACGUCCAGGCUGACGUCGUUUCCGUGUUCACCGACCGGUGUGGUUCUCGGCUCGAACAGGCUUCGCUGGAUGUCCCUGGGGCUGGGUCCAUUGGGCGAUUCCAUGGCGCGGGCGAGCAGCUCCCGAAAGUGGACGUCCUUUCGCCGGUACCCCGGUGUGUUGAGAUUGGCGAUAUUGUUGGCGAUCACCUUUCCCCUGAGGCCGGCUGCGCUCAUGCCCGCUUCGAGGAGUUCGGCUACACUGUUUCCUUCAGCCAUCGCUUGUCUCCGAUCGGCUCGACACGGCCUUGCUCGCGAUACCUGCGGAGUUUCUCGCGAAGGGUCCGGUCU